UUCUUAAUAGUUCAGUUGGAAGAGCACGAGACUCGUAAUCUCAGGGUUGUGGGUUCUAGCCCCACAUUGGGCAA
rnacentral:tRNA from 1 species